rnacentral:rRNA from 1 species
UACGGAGGGUGCGAGCGUUAUCCGGAAUUACUGGGUUUAAAGGGUGCGUAGGCGGCUAUGUAAGUCAGGAGUGAAAGUUUGCGGCUCAACCGUAAAAUUGCUUUUGAUACUGCAUGGCUAGAAUUAGGAUGAGGUUAGCGGAAUGUGGCAUGUAGCGGUGAAAUGCAUAGAUAUGCCAUAGAACACCAAUUGCGAAGGCAGCUGGCUAGACCUGGAUUGACGCUGAGGCACGAAAGCGUGGGGAGCGAACAGG